ensembl:lncRNA LINC01514 long intergenic non-protein coding RNA 1514
GUUUGUUUUGAGACAGGGUUUUACUCUGUUGCCCAGGCUGGGGUGCAGGGGCAUGAACAUGGCUCACUGCACCCUUGACCUUCUGGGCUCAAGCGAUCCUCUUGCCUCAGGCUUCUGUUUAGCUGGGGCCACAGGCGGGCACCAAAAUGCCUGGCUAAUUUUUUUGUUUUUAUUUUGGUAGAGACGAGGUCUCACUUUGUUGCCCAUGCUGUUCUCAAACUUCUCGGCUCAAGUGAUCCUCCCACCUCGGCCUCCCAAAGUGCUGUGUUACAGGCAUAAGCCACUGCACCUGGUCUCUACUUCGUUCUUACUCUUCUUCCCGACUCUGUGAUCAGCUCUUUUUCCUCACUGACAUCUCUUAUCACCAGCAGAGGCCUACCACUAGACACCAGGUCCGUAUUGGAAGCCUUGACUCUGGCCCAGACAUUUCUGCUGUACCUCAUGUAGGAAGGGAAGAAAUGUCGGAGGUGGCCUUCUCAGACCCUGUGAAGUGAAAGUGUCUAUCCAUCCAAUGAAAGCGUCUACUCAGACCAAGAGGUAUUUUAGUUUCCUGACUCGAAGCAGGUGAGCCCAGGACCUGCCACACUGUGCCAGCCUCGCCCAAGCCACCCCCCAGCCAGGACGCGGUCUUUCCUGACUCAGCAGGCUGAGGCACCUGAGGCUUUCAUUUUAAUUAUGAACCACUUCAAAGCCUUUCUGGAAGCAGUCUCUGCAAUAACCAACCUGGGUUCUCUCCUAAUGUGGGGAUUGUCCUGGAGCCCAGGCCUUCCAAGGCUCCUCCGCCCGCCAACAUCACCUACCUCAUCUUCCUCUUCAGCACAUCCCCAACAUUGUCUAAGCGGUAACUCACCUGAGCAAAGCACUUGACACGGAUUCAUUCAUUUACUCCUCACAACAACCUGAUGAGAGCACUGAUUAACUUCAAAGGGGAAAAACAAUAACCUUUACAAUGGAUAGAUCUGGCAGGAACCAUGUUAACCAAGUGAUCAAAGGUAGCAUCACCAAUAAUGGGGCAAACCGACAUCCUGUGCUUCCCCAUUGAUGCGCCGAGAAGGACACAGCAUUGCUCAUGCAGCAUCCUUGUCAAAAAUGCGUAAACGGAAUCUAAUCAUGAGAAAACUGCCAGACAGCCAAACUCUUCAGAAAUGUCAAUAUAAUGAAAGGCAACAAAGAUUGAGAAUAACUUUACCAGGUUAAAGAAAACUAAAAAGAUAUGACAACUGACUGCAACGCAGAAUCCUGGACCAGACCCUGGAUCUGGUCAAAAGAAAAAUGCUUUAAACGACAGUAUUGGGACAAAGGGUAAAAUUUGAAUGUGGAUCAUGUAAUAGAUGAAUAAUAUAUUGUAUCAAUGAUA